rnacentral:misc_RNA from 1 species
AAGACUAUAGACCUGCGGAGUACCUGCGGAAGGAUCAUUACCUGAAUACGGGCUUCGGCCCUCAUUCUACCCUUGUCUACUGCACCUUUGUUGUUCCCUCGGCGGGUCUCCCGCCGGUGGGUACCCCAAAAACCCUUUGCAUUAGCAUGUAAAUCUGAUACCAAUUGAAUAAUCACAACUUUCAACAACGGAUCUCU